rnacentral:rRNA from 1 species
CGGGGUGCAGCAGGCGCGAAAACUUUACAAUGCUGGCAACAGCGAUAAGGGGACCUCGAGUGCUAGGAUACAAUCUUGGCUGUCGUGAUGCCUAAAAAGCAUUGCAUAGCAAGGGCCGGGCAAGACCGGUGCCAGCCGCCGCGGUAACACCGGCGGCUCGAGUGGUAACCGCUAUUAUUGGGUCUAAAGGGUCUGUAGCCGGCCGGAUAAGUCUCUUGGGAAAUCCGACAGCUCAACUGUCGGGCUUUCAGGGGAUACUGUUCGGCUCGAGGCCGGGAGAGGUGAGAGGUACUUCAGGGGUAGGGGUGAAAUCUUGUAAUCCUUGAAGGACCACCAGUGGCGAAGGCGUCUCGCCAGAACGGUCCUGACGGCAAGGGACGAAAGCUAGGGGCACGAACCGGAUUAGAUACCCGGGUAGUCCUAGCCGUAAACGAUACUCGCUAGGUGUCGGCCACGGUGUGACCGUGGUCGGUGCCGUAGGGAAGCCGUGAAGCGAGCCACCUGGGAAGUACGGCCGCAAGGCUGAAACUUAAAGGAAUUGGCGGGGGAGCAC